UACGUAGGGGGCAAGCGUUGUCCGGAAUUACUGGGCGUAAAGCGCGUGUAGGCGGUCUAUCAAGUCGGGUGUGAAAGCCCUCAGCUCAACUGAGGAAGUGCGCCCGAAACUGGUGGACUUGAGUGCCGGAGAGGAUGGCGGAAUACCCCAAGUAGAGGUGAAAUUCGUAGAUAUGGGGUGGAACACCGGUGGCGAAGGCGGCCAUCUGGACGGUAACUGACGCUGAGACGCGAAAGCGUGGGGAGCAAACAGG
rnacentral:rRNA from 1 species